rnacentral:lncRNA from 1 species
UUACCUUCCUUUUUUUUUUUUUUUUAAAAUUAUUUUCUUUCCUCUUCAAUACAUACAUUAAGAACAAAAAACAUAUAAUUAAAACACAUAUUAGUUAUUUAUUAUACUACCAAACAAAUGUACCAAUAUUAGAAAAGGAGGGCAAAAUGUCUCAAUACUGCUGACUUAAUUACUGAAAUCCCUAAAUUUAAAGCAAUAUCUUCUACAACUAACUUCUUAUAUUUACAUUUUAAUUACUAGUAAUAAUUUUUAAUUAUUUCCAGACAUAGUAUUCAGUUUGUGGGUAUGUAUGCAUCAGCCGCGGCACAAUAAUUGGGCUCGGAAAAGUUUUUAAGUAGGUAAUUGUGUUGAGUAAUGAUAUUGACAAUGUUGAAUAUUACUAGUAGGUUGAGGUCUUUCUAAAUUUCUAGUCACCUUACGUGAAAAAAUUUGAAUGUCAUUACUAUGAUGUAUUGCAAUUUGCAAAUGAACCUUCCUUUUUUUUUUUUUUUUAAAAUUAUUUUCUUUCCUCUUCAAUACAUACAUUAAGAACAAAAAACAUAUAAUUAAAACACAUAUUAGUUAUUUAUUAUACUACCAAACAAAUGUACCAAUAUUAGAAAAGGAGGGCAAAAUGUCUCAAUACUGCUGACUUAAUUACUGAAAUCCCUAAAUUUAAAGCAAUAUCUUCUACAACUAACUUCUUAUAUUUACAUUUUAAUUACUAGUAAUAAUUUUUAAUUAUUUCCAGACAUAGUAUUCAGUUUGUGGGUAUGUAUGCAUCAGCCGCGGCACAAUAAUUGGGCUCGGAAAAGUUUUUAAGUAGGUAAUUGUGUUGAGUAAUGAUAUUGACAAUGUUGAAUAUUACUAGUAGGUUGAGGUCUUUCUAAAUUUCUAGUCACCUUACGUGAAAAAAUUUGAAUGUCAUUACUAUGAUGUAUUGCAAUUUGCAAAUGAUGUAGAAGGGAGUGGAAUUAUUGAGGUGUAGCCACGAGGUGGUGACAUGUAUGGAUAGAAUUAUGAGGAAGCAACGCAUUUCUGGCUGCCCUUUUUAUCCUUUUAAAUCAACAACUAGUAGUAGCUAGUACACAUUUAUUGGAAUCUGGUGCCCAAUUGAAACACUAUUCCAUUCAUUUUUUUCUUUUAAUUGUUAUUAUUAUUCCGUUAGGUUAGACGUGAGGUGGAUCCAUAUAUAUUAUCAGGGACGGAUCUAUAUAUUAUAAUAUAAUAAUUCAAUGCUUACACAUUUCUAAGAACCUUAUUUUUUUUAUUUGUAGAGGUUUAAUUUGAAAAAAGUAAAAUUAAAAAUAAAAUAAAACUGCAAAAAAGUAUAAUAUUUUGUAAGAAGGGCUCGCAAAGUAAAGCUGAGAAGAAAUGUUAAAAGGGCAUGAUAAGAAAGGUUAAAGUUUAACAGAUAUCUAUUUUAUUUUUAUACGCUUACUUUUUAUAUAUCGAAUCCCCUGAAUAAAAAUCCUAAAUCCGCCACCGUACAUUAUUACUAUUAUUAUAAUCAACAAAAAGACAAAAAUAUCGCAACUAGGAAAUGUGAGUACAACAUGGUUGGCAGCCUCACCAUAUGUCACGAGUUAUUUGGUCGCUGCUCUAUUAUUACUUGUAUUGAAGUUUUUUAUUUAUCAAUGAUUAUAUCAAACAAAUCAUGACUAAUUUUUAUACCUUAAAUUUGGACGGAGUAGAGGAGUUGGAUUUUUAAAAGUUGAAACUGACUAGACACACGUUAGGUUUGUGAAAUAGAGUAAUUAGGUUACCGGAAAAAGGUACAUGGUUUGAGUUGUAAGAUAAUAGCAACGAACACUUCAUCGCGCAUAAAUUUUUAGUAACAUCUUGCACAAAGAUGAUGUACCUAGCAUAUCUGCAAAAAAUUGGAGUUCGGAGCUUAAAAGAUAAAUUUUUUUAGUUAAAAUUUUAAAAGGCCACCCAAUACUAAAUAAUUUCAAAAGGGAUGUUUCCCUUGUCUAUUAAAAAGAAAUAUUAGAAUGUAAGGUACAAUGAUGAAUUUACCUUAUAAGGUUAAAUAGUGAGUUUA